rnacentral:tRNA from 1 species
UGGCUCAUUUGGUAGAGCAUGAGACUCUUGAUCUUGGGGUUGUGAGUUCAAGUCCCAC